GCAGCAUUCCGAGUAACUCCUCAACCUGGAGUUCCACCUAAAGAAGCAAGUGCCGCUAGGGCCCAAACUCCAACAGGAGGCAGUAGUGGAGAAUUUUCUGCAAUGAGCGAAAGCUUGAUGGAGCAAUGUCGUGUGGAGGUAGAAGACUUAUGACUCGUGAACUUCUUUUCUCGGAGAAGAAGCAAUGGUGAUAUUCAGGGAAUAAAUGUCGAUUAACUCUGUGCUAGCAAUCGUGGUGAGAUAAAGGAUGCA
rfam:Lupinus angustifolius cultivar Tanjil chromosome LG04, whole genome shotgun sequence.